rnacentral:rRNA from 1 species
UACGUAGGGUGCGAGCGUUGUCCGGAAUUAUUGGGCGUAAAGGGCUCGUAGGCGGUUUGUCGCGUCUGCCGUGAAAACCCGAGGCUUAACCUCGUGGCUUGCGGUGGAUACGGGCAGACUAGAGGUAGGUAGGGGAGAAUGGAAUUCCCGGUGUAGCGGUGAAAUGCGCAGAUAUCGGGAGGAACACCGGUGGCGAAGGCGGUUCUCUGGGCCUUACCUGACGCUGAGGAGCGAAAGCGUGGGGAGCGAACAGG